UUGGCAGUCCGUUCUAUCGAUUCGUAAAACCGAAUAGGAAAGUCCGGGCAACACAGGGUACCGUACUUCCUAAUAAGAAGGCAUUUUUUGCUUCGGUAAAAAAUGACAGACAGUGUCACAGAAAACGAAACCGCCUUUUUCGAGAGGUAAGGGUGAAAAAGUGGGGUAAGAGCCCACUCGUUCUGAAGUGAUUCAGAAUUGGGAUAAACCUUACGGGUUGAAAGGUCAAAUAAACCUGGAUCAAAGAGCGUCCCGCUCAAUUGCUUAGGCAAGCCAGAAGGGUAGACCGAUAGAGGUGUAAUGUGAGUUGCAUCCCAGAUCAAUGAUAGAAGCUUGGGCUUGCCCAAGAACAGAACCCGGCUUACAGGACUGCCUUUUUU
rnacentral:RNase_P_RNA from 1 species